UUUAUUAUACGUAAUAUUUUAACACGGAUUUUAAUGCCUAUUAACAGUGUUCAUAGUUUUGACCACGGUCUUAGAAGAUAUCUUCUAAGACCGUGGUUUUGACUUAAAACUUAUAAGUUUUUUCUCGUCAGUAGUCAUCAUGGCAUAAUUAGUUUCAAAAUUUAAUUUAACAAAAAUAUUACAUCAAUUUAUAUGAUACAUUUUUACUGUGGAUUUUGCCAAUGCUUAAAAAAUCUUAUUUUAUAUCAUAGUUUUGUGCAUGACAAAUUAAAUUAAUUUGUCAUGGUUUUGUGUUAGUUAACCGUGGAUAGUAUCUACUAUCUUUAAUCGUGUAGCUGAUCGUCCACAGUCAUAAUUAUGAAUAUUCAAAGUGGACACUAUAUUACUUUGUCGAUGUUUAUUCGUCACCGGCGACCAGGGCAAUGUUUAGGAUGUCGACCGUUGUGUUAAACGUGUGAAUAAUCAAUGAUGAUGUAAUGGGCUACAUAUUAUGAGCAAACGUGAAUUCAUAUUGUGAAAUAUAGGUGUACCUGCAGUAAAUAAAUGGAUAUUAGAGUAGUAUAUUGUAGUAAUAUGGUGGUAUACUUGGAGAGUCCCGAUAAAUACCAAUAUUACUUACAGACGGACCCAGCAAUUACCACAGAAACAACUAUGGCCAUAACCGUGCAUAUACAGUUAAAAGUGGACUAGAUUGUUAUUAAUUAAACAACACUACAAAGAUAACAAAGGGAAACAACUGUGUAGAUCCAGAACAAGCGUAACAGCUGUAAAUCAGAAAUUGAGAAAGAAAAUCCCAUUGAGCAGUGCCAAUCAACAAGUUCACAAGCCAUAAGACAAGGAAACUCAACUCAGUAUAAAAGAGGAGGAUUAAGGCAAUAAACAGAAUAUUAAUUUAUUUUUUGAUACCAAACCCGUAAAAUUAGCACUUCCAUUUUAUAAUAUAUUUUUUUACAUAAUAUUUCCCAAUUAGGUUUUGAUAACAAUAAUAAACCAACAAUAUGUUGUAUUAAAAUUAUGUGUGACAAACACAAAUACAAACAAUAUUAGUUUAUAUAUAAUUUGUCCAUUAUAAACAUGUGAAAAAAUAAAAAUUUUAUUUCAUAUAA